rnacentral:rRNA from 1 species
AUUGAACGCUGGCGGCAGGCCUUACACAUGCAAGUCGAACGAGUGGCGGACGGGUGAGUAAUAUCUGGGAACCUGCCCGAUGGAGGGGGAUAACUACUGGAAACGGUAGCUAAUACCGCAUACUAUCGGAUGUGCCCAGAUGGGAUUAGCUAGUAGGUGGGGUAAAGGCUCACCAAGGCGACGAUCCCUAGCUGGUCUGAGAGGAUGACCAGCCACACUGGAACUGAGACACGGCCCAGACUCCUACGGGAGGCAGCAGUGGGGAAUAUUGCACAAUGGGCGAAACCCUGAUGCAGCCAUGCCGCGUGUAUGAAGAAGGCCUUCGGGUUGUAAAGUACUUUCAGCGGGGAGGCGUUACCCGCAGAAGAAGCACCGGCUAACUCCGUGCCAGCAGCCGCGGUAAUAC